rnacentral:rRNA from 1 species
GAUGAACGCUGGCGGCGUGCCUAACACAUGCAAGUCGAGCGAACGGACGAGAAGCUUUCUCCCCUGCUGUUGGCGGCGGGCGGGUGAGUAACACGUGCAUCACCUACCAAUUAGACUGGGAGAACUUCGUGAAACCGGUGCCAAUACCGGAUAAUAUUUUGAACCGCAUGGAUCAAAAGUGAAAGGCGGUCUUGCUGUCACUUAUAGACGGUUCCGCGCUUGAUUAGCUAGUUGGUAAGGUAACGGCCUACCAAGGCAACGUCGCGUAGCCGACCUGAGAGGGUGAUCGGCCACACUGGAACUGAGACACGGUCCAGACUCCUACGGGAGGCAGCAGUGGGGAAUCUUCGACAAUGGGCGAAAGCCUGACGGAGCAACGCCGCGUGGGUGAUGAAGGUCCUCGGAUCGUAAAGCUCUGUUGUUAGGGAAGAAAAUAUGUAUGAGAAACUGUGCACAUUUUGACGGUACCUAAUGAAUAAGCCACGGCUAACUACGUG